rnacentral:rRNA from 1 species
UACGUAGGGUGCAAGCGUUAAUCGGAAUUACUGGGCGUAAAGCGUGCGCAGGCGGCUUUGCAAGACAGAUGUGAAAAUCCCCGGGCUUAACCUGGGAACUGCAUUUGUGACUGCAUGGCUAGAGUGCGGCAGAGGGGGAUGGAAUUCCGCGUGUAGCAGUGAAAUGCGUAGAUAUGCGGAGGAACACCGAUGGCGAAGGCAAUCCCCUG